ensembl:lncRNA
CCUCCCGCCUGCCCCGGGGCCCCGGGCCCGCCCUCUUCGCGACCCCCACCCAGACUCUGAUUCUGUAAUGCGUGGGGGGGGCAGAGAGAGGGAGGGUAUUAUGCGCACGGAGCUUUGUCCCCGAGCUCGUAUGCGCUCAUAAAUACCCCACCCUCAGCGGAGUCUCCCGCUCGGAGAGAGAGAGAGAGGCCUUCUCUGGGGGAGACGGGGGCUCUCGUUGAGGAGCUCAUAGUAGAACUGCAACCUGUAGAAAUAUUAAAAUACCAAAAAAAAAACAGGUUGUUUACACGAGGUUUCAUAGUCGCUGACUAAUGCGGCCAAUCGAUGGUUACAUGUCAUACACACAUAUACAGAAGUGACGGAGGAUGGCAUUAAGAGGUGGAAGUGCAUGUUUGAUAGAAGUGUCUGCUAUCAGUUGGGAGUUGAUGCCGUUGGAAUGUAAUGUUGGUUUUAGAAAAGUAUUUGUUUGUUGGGGAUGAUACAGCUGGGGCUGUAAGAGUAAGUAGCAAAUGGUAAUCAAUCUUUAAGGUUUUUGAUAAGCCUUUACAGGGGGUGUACAGCAUGAGUACAUCGACCACUUAAUCAAAAAGCAAAGAGAAUCAACCACUCAAACUAGGAAAAUGUGUUUUUCAAACAGCUUUGUUCAAAGAAACUAUUUUUUUUUUUUUUUGUAAGUGAAUAUAAAUGCAUCUUGUAACUGCAGGGCAGUUGUACCUAUUUAUUUCAAUACAGGCCCUUGUAUGCACCUGCUCUAGUCAAUGGGGGUUGUAUAAAGUUCUGAGGUCCAAUAGGUAAGACAGGAGGAUUCUAUCAUUCCAUCACUUUACAGCCGUCUGUCUCCUAAAGUGAGAUACUGCAUACUAGCUCUCCUUAAUUGCAUUUACUAAUGACUGAAAUGAUGACGCAUCGUUUCUGUAUUAACACGCAUUUUUGUCUUUAAUUAAAAAUGUAUUUUAUAUUGCGAAAGUGAUUAUUUCAAGUAGACUGCAAAACCAAUAAAAUUUUGAAAUAUAUGGAUUCAGUCAA